AAUUAGAAGGAAUGAAUAUUGAUUUGUAAUGGGUCUUUCUAGUUUCUGUUAAUUUUCUAGAUUUGAUGUUGUUUUUCAUGUAAUUUCAGUGAUGGAUUUAGUGAAUCAUAGGCCAUCAGCAAUAGCUGCGGCGGCCGUCCUGGUGGCUUCCAAUCAGAGCUUACUGAGUACUCCAGAUGAUUUUAAGAUGGACGUAAUCUCAUCAUGCGGCUGCUUAGAAAAUGAGCAUGUGUUUUCUUGCUAUAAUUUGAUGCGGGAGUUGGAAAAGGGUGAGAUGGAGAGAAAAAGGGGGAGAAAGCUGACUUUUGAGUCCAAAAGCAAUGGAAGAGGUGUAACCCAAGAGGCCAUUGAAGUGUGUUUAUUAAUAUUCAUUCAGCUAGUCUUUUUGGUUCAUAGUCAUUGUCAUUCCCAAAAACCUUACCCAAAUAUUAAUUUUAUUUGUAUUUCUUUAGUUGUUUGUAGAAUUUUGGUAGGGACCCAAAAAAAAAAAAAAAACACAACAAAGAGA